AACGAACGCUGGCGGCAUGCCUAACACAUGCAAGUCGAACGAGACCUUCGGGUCUAGUGGCGCACGGGUGCGUAACGCGUGGGAAUCUGCCCUUCGGUUGGGAAUAACUGAGAGAAAUUUCAGCUAAUACCUUAUAAUGUCUUCGGACCAAAGAUUUAUCGCCGAGGGAUGAGCCCGCGUAGGAUUAGGUAGUUGGUGGGGUAAUGGCCUACCAAGCCGACGAUCCUUAGCUGGUCUGAGAGGAUGAUCAGCCACACUGGGACUGAGACACGGCCCAGACUCCUACGGGAGGCAGCAGUGGGGAAUAUUGGACAAUGGGCGAAAGCCUGAUCCAGCAAUGCCGCGUGAGUGAUGAAGGCCUUAGGGUUGUAAAGCUCUUUUACCCGGGAUGAUAAUGACAGUACCGGGAGAAUAAGCUCCGGCUAACUCCGUGCCAGCCGCCGCUGUAA
rnacentral:rRNA from 1 species